AGGCCUGAACAUGGUUCAACUUGCGGGCAUUAUUUCUAAAGUGGUCAAUUGAAAUUCACCAGGAGCACAUGGAUGUUGUAGAAGUUGAACAAGGGAUGGGCUCUUGCAGAGAGAGUUGCUGAAGGUUGAGCAUGUGUGCCUCAAGUUCCUUGAAUGCAGAACAACCAUAGAGUUCCAGAACCAUUGUGGAGACCCUGGAUUUAAAUUUGGUGUCAAAUUCAGAGCUGGGCCUUGUGAGAGU